AGGCAGUGAUGACAAAAACAUUUCUCGAUCCUGAUAUAAAUCUUUCGAGAUCUUUUGCAAGUAUUCAUUUACUUGUAUGCUUUCGUGAUGACUGUAUUUGUGCGUGUCUGAGCCUU